rnacentral:rRNA from 1 species
UAGUCCACGCCCUAAACGAUGCACACUAGUUGUUGCGAGGCUAGACCUUGCAGUAAUGCAGUUAACACAUUAAGUGUGCCGCCUGGGGAGUACGGUCGCAAGAUUAAAACUCAAAGGAAUAGACGGGGACCCGCACAAGCGGUGGAGCAUGUGGUUUAAUUCGACGAUACGCGAAGAACCUUACCUGGACUUGACAUAGAAAGAAUAACGCAGAGAUGUGAUAGUGCUAGCUUGCUAGAGCUUUCAUACAGGUGCUGCACGGCUGUCGUCAGCUCGUGUCGUGAGAUGUUGGGUUAAGUCCCGCAACGAGCGCAACCCUCGUGUUUAGUUGAUAACAGUUCGGCUGAUAACUCUAAACAGACUGCCUGGGUAACCAGGAGGAAGGUGAGGACGACGUCAAGUCAUCAUGGCCCUUAUGUCCAGGGCUACACACGUGCUACAAUGGGGUAUACAAAGAGCAGCGAUACUGUGAAGUGGAGCAAAUCUA